UGAACAGUUUAUCCUGGUCGGUCAGUAG
rnacentral:sRNA from 1 species